rnacentral:misc_RNA from 1 species
UGGGCGACGCCAUCCUGUCGGUGAACGGCACCGACCUGCGCCAGGCCACCCACGACCAGGCCGUGCAGGCGCUGAAGCGCGCGGGCAAGGAGGUGCUGCUGGAGG